UACAGAGGUCUCAAGCGUUGUUCGGAUUUAUUGGGCGUAAAGCGUGCGUAGGCGGCGGGGUAAGUGAGGUGUGAAAUCCCGGAGCUUAACUCCGGAACUGCACUUUAUACUGCCUUGCUCGAGGGCUGGAGAGGAGACUGGAAUUUACGGUGUAGCAGUGAAAUGCGUAGAGAUCGUAAGGAAGACCAGUGGCGAAGGCGAGUCUCUGGAAAGCUGCUGACGCUGAGGCAACGAAGGCCCAGGGGGAGCAAACGGG
rnacentral:rRNA from 1 species